rnacentral:rRNA from 1 species
CACGUAGGGUGCGAGCGUUGUCCGGAAUUAUUGGGCGUAAAGAGCUCGUAGGCGGUGUGUCACGUCGGCCGUGAAAACUUGGGGCUUAACUCUGAGCGUGCGGUCGAUACGGGCAUCACUUGAGUUCGGCAGGGGAGACUGGAAUUCCUGGUGUAGCGGUGAAAUGCGCAGAUAUCAGGAGGAACACCGGUGGCGAAGGCGGGUCUCUGGGCCGAUACUGACGCUGAGGAGCGAAAGCGUGGGGAGCGAACAGG